rnacentral:lncRNA from 1 species
AUGAGAUCGCAUUUUAAUAAAAGCCCGCGAACUGAUGAUGAUUAAAAUGCCAUCUCGUGGCAUCAUGUUGGAAGCUUAAACUAAUUUGUCUACCAUCAUCUAACAAGACUUUUUCAGCUAUUAAAACUAGUUUAAGUAAUCAUUCCGUUUCAACUUUCAACACCAAAAUUAAGCAUCUGAUCAUCUUUAUUUUAAACAUAUCCGUACC